AGCAGCUCUCGGGUUAGCUUUUGUACCGGUACAAGAGUCCGUGUACCGGUACAAGAUGGUAGGUAGAGGGCGAAAUGUGUAAUUUUAUCCCUCGUUUGUACCACCCCUCACUCCCCUCUAUUUAGCUUCGUGUAGAGAGAGAGAGAGAGGUCUUCUAGCUGCAACUCUCCAUCUCUCUCACUCUCCCACCCGGUUGGAAGCAAGGAAGGAGCUUACUUGGAGUUUCGUCGCCGACGUCGCGCCGCGGGAUCGUUCGAGCACGUAUUUGACGCCGGGACUUUGCGAGAAGACCGGGCGAGCGUGCGACUACGCUGUUCUUGACGUCGUGCUGGUGCUUGUCGCUGUCGAGUAUUUCAGCUCGUUCUCGACGUAGGAGCAUCGGAUUGCGACGAGACUUGGCUCUUUGGAUUCAGAACUUCGAGAGGAAUCCACGAAGUCCUUACUUGCUGGAUUUGGUGAAGGUUAGCUUGGUCGAAUCCCUGUUGUACCUCACUGCUGAAAUUCGGGACUGAAACGGUGAUUUAUUGUCGUGUAGAGCUCGAGCGUGGACGAUUUCUGGACUCGGAGCUGUGCGUUUGAUCCAGCAAGUUGCUCUACACCAGUGGGAGUCCUUCGUUGCCAAGGAUUAGCAUUUUAGAGCCACAGGUUCCGGCUGCUGCACCGUCCGCGGAUCAGGAUCGAGGCAAGGGC